rnacentral:rRNA from 1 species
AGUGAACGCUGGCGGCGUGCCUAAUACAUGCAAGUCGAACGAAGUGGCGCACGGGUGAGUAAUAUAUAGUUAAUCUGCCCUACACAGAGGAACAACAGUUGGAAACGACUGCUAAUCCCUCAUAGUGUAGGAUGAGACUAUAUCGUAUCAGCUAGUUGGUAAGGUAAUGGCUUACCACGGCUAUGACGCGUAACUGGUCUGAGAGGAUGAUCAGUCACAUAAGAACUGAGACACGAUCCAAAGUCCUACGUGAGGCAGCAGUAAGGAAGAGUGCAGAAAGGGGGAAACCCUAACGCAGCAGCGCCGCGUGGAGGAUGACACUUUUCGGUGCGUAAACUCCUUGUAACAGGAAAGCGGUACCUGGUGAAUAAGCACCGGGUAACUCCGUGCCAGCGGCCGCGGUGAUAC